rnacentral:lncRNA from 1 species
GGCUAUUUCCAGCACUCUCUUCUCCUUCUUGGUCAGCCAUAUGAGUGAGAGAAUGCAUGAAAAAUAUGGCUAAGUACACUAAAUCCAAUUUGAUUUAUAUUUGGAUUCAAUGUGAAUCCAAUUCGAAUCCGAUUUGAAUCAAAUCCAUCUCAGAAGGACUUGAAUCCAAUCUCUCAUAAUUUUUUGAAUCAUAGAUUUGAUUAAAUUCAUCUUUGAAAUCAAACCUGUGCCUGAUGUGCAGUGCUAGCUGCAUAUAGUUAGUGUUUAAUUCCAUAUGA